GAAAGCUGUGGUGGUGAAGAGGAGGAAGCUAUGAUGGCUUUGGCACCCUUUGAAGGACUGGCAGAGAAAAAGGAACCCAGGGGACUUAGCGAGGACCAACAGAGAAGGAAACCACAGAAAAACUGGUACCAGAUUCAAAAGCCAAGAGAGAUGAAAUGGCCAGUGUAGGAUGGCAAAGAGAGCGGGAGUCAUGGAUCCCUGGAUUCUACAGCACCAUGAUGCUGUUAGACUGCUUGGACCACAGAUUAUCACUCGGCACUUAGGUUUUCAUCUGCAUGGUAUUCUGUCUCCCCAGCUGCACCAUAAAUCUCUCUGAAGUCCAUUGCAAAGAGCUUUCCUCAUAAUAAACAACGAAU